rnacentral:rRNA from 1 species
AAGAUUUAACAUUUUAAUUUUUUUAUUAAUUUUAAAUUUUAAAAUUAUCUUUAAUGUAAAAAGACAUUAAUUUUCAAGAUAGACGACRAGACCCUAUUGAACUUAACUUUAGUUUUACUGGGGUAGUAAAUUAAUUAUUAUUUUAAUUUAACAUUUUUAUAAAAAUAUCCAAUUUUUUGAAUUAUCCAGUUACCAUAGGGAUAACAGCAUAAUUAUAUUUUUAAGCCCUAAUUUAUAAUAUAGAUUAUGACCUCGAUGUUGAAUUAAUAACCUAAUUUAUUUAAAGCAAAUUUUAAAAAAGGAAGUCUGUUCGACUUUUAAACAUUUACAUGAUUUGAGUUCAGACCGGUAUAAGCCAGGUCGGUUUCCAUCUUCUACAUAAAUUUAUAUAGUACGAAAGGACCUAUAAAUAUAAUUAAAUUAUUCAAUUGGCAGAAAAAUGCAUUAGAAUUAGAAUCUAAAUAAUCUAAA